AUUGAACGCUGGCGGCAUGCCUUACACAUGCAAGUCGAACGGCAGCACGGGAGCAAUCCUGGUGGCGAGUGGCGAACGGGUGAGUAAAGUAUCGGAACGUGCCCAGUCGUGGGGGAUAACGUAGCGAAAGUUACGCUAAUACCGCAUACGAUCUAUGGAUGAAAGCGGGGGAUCGCAAGACCUCGCGCGAUUGGAGCGGCCGAUAUCAGAUUAGGUAGUUGGUGGGGUAAAGGCUCACCAAGCCGACGAUCUGUAGCUGGUCUGAGAGGACGACCAGCCACACUGGGACUGAGACACGGCCCAGACUCCGACGGGAGGCAGCAGUGGGGAAUUUUGGACAAUGGGCGAAAGCCUGAUCCAGCCAUGCCGCGUGCAGGAUGAAGGCCUUCGGGUUGUAAACUGCUUUUGUACGGAACGAAAAGGUUUGGGCUAAUAAGCUGAGCUCAUGACGGUACCGUAAGAAUAAGCACCGGCUAACUACGUGCCAGCCGCCGCAGUAA
rnacentral:rRNA from 1 species